UUAAGUUCGGCGGGUAGUCCUACCUGAUUUGAGGUCAAGCUUCGAUGGGACGCGGCCGUCCCUCGCAAGGGGACGGGCUCGCAAGGGUUGCGAAGCAUGGGUCCGCCAAGCCUUACGCUUCCAGCCCACGACGAUCAUUACGACGUCGAAGAGGCCGUGCCACGCCAGGCUCGCCACCCACGGCUAAUGCUUUUGAGGAG
rnacentral:misc_RNA from 1 species